rnacentral:rRNA from 1 species
GACGAACGCUGGCGGCGUGCUUAACACAUGCAAGUCGAACGAUGAAGCUAGAGCUUGCUCUGGGUGAAUUAGUGGCGAACGGGUGAGUAACACGUGAGUAACCUGCCCCGAACUCUGGGAUAACUGCUGGAAACGGUAGCUAAUACUGGAUACGACCUACGAAGGCAUCUUCUGUAGGUGGAAAGAAUUUCGGUUCGGGAUGGACUCGCGGCCUAUCAGCUUGUUGGUGAGGUAAUGGCUCACCAAGGCGACGACGGGUAGCCGGCCUGAGAGGUGACCGGCCACACUGGGACUGAGACACGGCCCAGACUCCUACGGGAGGCAGCAGUGGGGAAUAUUGCACAAUGGGCGCAAGCCUGAUGCAGCAACGCCGCGUGAGGGAUGACGGCCUCGG